CCUACGGGAGGCAGCAGUGGGGAAUAUUGCACAAUGGGGGAAACCCUGAUGCAGCGACGCCGCGUGAGUGAAGAAGUAAUUCGGUAUGUAAAGCUCUAUCAGCAGGGAAGAAAAUGACGGUACCUGAGUAAGAAGCCCCGGCUAACUACGUGCCAGCAGCCGCGGUAAUACGUAGGGGGCAAGCGUUAUCCGGAUUUACUGGGUGUAAAGGGAGCGUAGACGGCAGUGCAAGUCUGGAGUGAAAGGCGGGGGCUCAACCCCCGGACUGCUCUGGAAACUGUACGGCUGGAGUGCAGGAGGGGUAAGUGGAAUUCCUAGUGUAGCGGUGAAAUGCGUAGAUAUUAGGAGGAACACCAGUGGCGAAGGCGGCUUACUGGACUGUAACUGACGUUGAGGCUCGAAAGCGUGGGGAGCAAACAGGAUUAGAUACCCGUGUAGUC
rnacentral:rRNA from 1 species